ACAGAGACCGAUACCGGUCCCGCUCCCCGGGAAGGAGUGGGUCUGGGUCCAGUCCGCAGGACCCCCUCGCGGAUGCUGACGCAGAAUGGAGUUGAGGUGGGGGCAGCGCUGGACCCUAGGGCCCCUGCCUGCCUCCUGGGGAGCCCGGUGACCCAGGCAGCCCUGGUGAGGCCGCAGGAGUCUGGGCCCUAGCGACGCCCCCGGGCUCCCACAGGACGAAUGUAGACGGUGAGGCCAAGGACGCCCUGCUGCCCUCGGGACUGUCCCUCCAGCCCCCAGCUUUCCGUGGUUAUUGGGCCCCCUCUGCAGAGGGGCAGGGGAGCCCACCCUGGAUCCUGAGGCGCCGAGCUUGAGGGACCCCAGAGCUCCAGCCAGGCCGCUUUCUUUGCGGAUGGUGAAGCUGAGGUCCCGAGGAGGGCAGGGGCAGGUCCCGGGCGCUCCUCAGGCAAAGGGAGCCGAUUUAGGGGCUGGGGUCACAGGAGGCGCUUCUGCGACCUCUAGGGCCCUAGAGCCCGGGAGGAUGAGAGACUGGGGGCCUUUCGUCCACCCCUGGGGCUGGGCAGACGCUCAGCCUGUGCAACCCGAAGCUGCUUCUGCCCAGUCCCAGCCGCGGCCCCUUUAAGAGGGGGUGGUGCUUCAGCCUGGCGCCAGGGACGCUGCCAGCAUGCAGGCCCCGACGGAAGCCGAGACUGCGCUUCGUGCGAGGCCCGGGCAGCAUCGGCGGCGUGGUCAGAGCGAGUCUCGGAGAAGAUGUGGUGGCUUCCGUUUGUUGGUGGAGGAGGUGGCAGGCCUCGGCGGGUAACCCAGAGAACACAGCCGAAGUGGAAUGUGGGGACGUCUGCGACACCGGGGACAGAGCAACUGUGGAUGAAGAGGGCUACAUCUGGUUCCUGGGGAGGAGUCAUGACACUAUCAAUGCCUCUGGGUGGUGAAGGCAUUGAUUGUCCUGACCCCACAGUUUCUGUCCCAUGACAAGGACCAGCUGACUAAGGAGCUGCAGCAGCAUGUAAAGUCAGUGACAGCCCCAUCCUGUUCGAAGACUCAUGAGACCGUGCUGCACACUGGACUUCAACCAUGAGCUUCACCGUCUGUCUCUUCCUUCACUACCUUCGCUCUGCACUAGGCCAUAAGCUCUGUAGGAGAAGGAACUCAUCACAGUGCCUGCCCCAGACAGGUUGUUCAUAAGCACGUAUUGAAAUAUAGAAUUCCCAGGCACCUCCAACAGAGAGACUGGACCUUGUGAGACCCAACAAGAAGCCAGUAUUUCAGAACUGAUGAAAAAUAGCAAGGAUCUAGAUUAGGGGGUAUAGUGGGAAUGAAAUGGGGGACUGGGUGAUGCCCCAUAUUUGUCAACGACUCAUAGUCUUUCUCCAGAGAUGUCUUCCUCCCCUGUGUUCUUUGUCUCAUCAGCUGCCACCAGCACUCACUCCAGCCACUAAAGCCAGAAAGUUGAAAGACCUCUGCCCUCAUCCGGCCCAGCCCCCAUCCAGCCAAAGACCUGUCAUUUCAACCUCACGCCCACCCCGCUUUCCACUCCCACUGCUCCUGCCUUAGUUCAGACCACCACCGUCGCUCUCCUACCCAGUUCAAGCCAAGCUGACCUGGCCAGUGGCCUUCAGGCCUUCCCUUCUCCAUCCUGCCAUGUCCAUCCUCCACAGGCAGAACAGGAAGCUGUCAUGUAAAAGUGCAGGUCUGCUUUGGUCCUUCUCCUAAACCCUUCAGUGGCUUCCCGGUUCCCUUUGGGUCCUGGUACAGAUUCCUUAGCAUGGCCAGGGAGGACAGCCCUCCAUGAUCCUCCCCUCCCUGAGAUGUUCCUCCUGCCCCAGCACCCUGUGUUUGAGCCCAAGCCCGCCCUGUGGUGUCACGGGAGGCCCAGCUCCUCUGCCUGGGGUGCCUUGCCUGGCCUAGGAACUGGGAAAACUUACCUGCUUCCAAGACUCAGCUCUAGCACCUCUUCCUGCUGGGUGUUUUCCGAUGCCCCCCCUCUCGCCACCUCAUGGGGACCCCACAGUCCCCUGAAGAGCCUUCUGCCCCAGUGCCUCACCCCACUCUUUAGACCUGUUUCUGUUUCCAUGGCUGCCUUGCCUUCUUAGACCACGGGCUCCUGCAGAGCGGGACCCCAUAUCUCAGUCGGCUUUGCAUUCCCAGUGCCUGGCCGAAACUGAGGCUGGAAUGGUCUCCUAUUCCAUAAGCUCUCAAUAACCCUUGAAAAAUGACUGGAAUCCUGGACAGCGCCAAGGCAGCAACUGGGAUGGGAGAGUGAUCUGCUGCCCUCUCCUGGCAAUGUGAGGAAUUGUCCUAAGCACAGACAACUCCCUCCCUGCCUUGCACAAGUGCAGGAUGGGGGAAACUGGAAAAGGAGCUGAUGGAGGAUUGGGGAGGUGGAUGCUGUCUAAGGAGACAAACUGAAUUGAGGGGUUGCUGGGACUCGGCCGGCUCACAUGCUAUUCCCAUGUCAUGGGCCCAGGGGCCAAGUCAGUGCUUCCAAAGGAGGGUGCAUCCUGAGAGAGGCUCUGGCUCCCCCAACAAAACCCUAAACUCUUGAAGGACAUCUUCCUUCUCAGUAUACCCUAUUGCUGUGUUGUUGUAACUAUCACUGUAACUUUUAUUCACUUCAGUGGGCGAUCACUGAGUUUUUCCUCCAUUGUUGUAAAACAUGUGUUUUGCUCUUGUGUGUAAAAUGACUGUGAAUUUAGCCACUGCCUUCUCCUGAUUUUAACUCAGCUUUCUACUGCUAGGAGGUUAUCUCUGUUCUGGGUUUCUCAGCUUUCUAUCAAAACCCAAAUACUGUCAUUCCUCGGUAUCCGUAGGGGAUUGGUUCCAGGAACCUCCCUUGAAGAUACCAACAUUGCAGGUGCCCAAGCCCCUGAUAGAGAACAGCGCAGCAUUUGCAGACAACCUAUGUACACACUGCAUGCACUUUCAAUCAGCUCUAGAUUACUUCUGAUACCUAAUUCAAUGUAAAUGCUGUGUCAGUAGUUGUCUAGGGAAUAAUGACAAGAAGAAAAUUUUGUACAUGUUCAGUACGUAGGAAAAAGAAAGAGAGAUCAGACUGUCACUGUGUCUAUGUAGAAAGGGAAGACAUAAGAGAUUCCAUUUUGAAAAAGACCUGUACUUUAAACAGUUGCUUUGCUGAGAUGUUGUUAAUUUGUAGCUUUGCCCCAGCCACUUUGCCUUAGCCACUUUGACCCAACCUGGAGCUCACAAAAAUAUGUGUUGUAUAAAAUCAAGGUUUAAGGGAUCUAGGGCUGUGCAGGAUAUGCCUUGUUAACAAAAUGUUUACAAGCAGUAUACUUGGUAAAGGUCAUCGCCAUUCUCUAGUCUCAAUAAAACAGGAGCACAGUGCACUGCGGAAAGCCGCAGGGACCUCUGCCCUUGAAAGUGGGGUAUUGUCCAAGGUUUCUCCCCAUGUGAUAGUCUGAAAUAUGGCCUCGUGGGAUGAGAAAGACCUGACUGUGCCCCAGCCCGACACCCAUAAAGGGUCUGUGCUGAGGUGGAUUAGUAAAAGAGGAAAGCCUCUUGCAGUUGAGAUAGAGGAAGGCCACUGUCUCCUGCCUGCCCCUGGGAACUGAAUGUCUCGGUAUAAAACCCGAUUGUACAUUUGUUCAAUUCUGAGAUAGGAGAAAAACCGCCCUAUGGUGGGAGGCGAGACAUGUUUGCAGCAAUGCUGCCUUGUUAUUCUUUACUCCGCUGAGAUGUUUGGGUGGAGAGAAACAUAAAUCUGGCCUACAUGCACAUCCGGGCAUAGUACCUUCCCUUGAACUUAAUCAUGACACAGAUUCUUUUGCUCACAUGUUUUUUGCUGACCUUCUCCUUAUUAUCACCCUGCUGUCCUACUACAUUCCUUUUUGCUGAAAUAAUGAAAAUAAUAGUCAAUAAAAACUGAGGGAACUCAAAGGCCGGUGCCAGUGCAGGUCCUUGGUGUGCUGAAUACUGGUCCCCUGGACCCACUGUUGUUUCUCUAUACUUUGUCCCUGUGUCUUAUUUCUUUUCUCAGUCCCUCAUCCCACCCGACUAGAAAUACCCACAGGUAUUUCUAGGGAGGGGCAGACCACCCCUUCACAGUAAAGCCACAAUAUUUUUCAAAUAUUUUUACCCCAGGUGGUUGAAUCCCCAGUUGAAUCCAGAACCCACAGAUGUGAAAUCCAUGGGUGAGGAGGGCCAGCUGUG
rnacentral:lncRNA from 1 species